UGGGGCUUUCGAAGAUGGCGCGUCCGGGAGGAUUCGAACCUCCGACCGCCUGGUUCGUAGCCAGGUACUCUAUCCA
rnacentral:tRNA from 1 species